CUUGGUCAUUUAGAGGAAGUAAAAGUCGUAACAAGGUUUCCGUAGGUGAACCUGCGGAAGGAUCAUUAGUGAACGCCCUCACGGGCUUAUAACUAUUCCAAGCCUCUGUGAACCGUGCCCUUCGGGGCUAUUUUACAAACAUGGUGUAAUGAACGUCAUAUAUCAUAACAAAACAAAACUUUCAACAACGGAUCUCUUGGCUCUCGCAUCGAUGAAGAACGCAGCGAAAUGCGAUAAGUAAUGUGAAUUGCAGAAUUCAGUGAAUCAUCGAAUCUUUGAACGCACCUUGCGCCCUCUGGUAUUCCGGAGGGCAUGCCUGUUUGAGUGUCAUGUAGACUCAAUCCCUCGGGUUUCCGAGGAGAUUGGACUUGGGUGCUGCCGCUCUGCCGGCUCGCCUUAAAAGACUUAGCGGGAUAGCACCGUAGUCGGCGUAAUAAGUUUCGUCGGUGAAGGUUGUGAUGACUGCUUACAAUCGCCCUCGGGCAAUUUUUGACUCUGACCUCAAAUCAGGUAGGACUACCCGCUGAACUUAAGCAUAUCAAUAAGCGGAGGA
rnacentral:rRNA from 1 species